CCUGUACUGUCUACAACAAGGACAGAAAGAAACUGCUAGAGGAUUCAGCAAUACUUAGAGUCAGAGUCACCCUGAUGGACACCAUGGCUGAGAUGCUUCCACAUCCUCGGCCUCACAAGCACAGGAGAGUACAGUCUGACCUGGGACACAGGAACAGGAACCAUGAAGACGUUCCUCUGGUGGGAGUUCAGUCAGCUUGAUGGGUCAUAGUGGAGGAGGAGGAGCUGGUGAUGUGUGUGUAUAUACAGGAUAAAGUAUUUAGUGUGUAUUCAGAUGAAGAUGCAGCUUUGCUUUGGCCUUCCUCUGCUAACAGCUAACAGCUAACUAACCUCAGCCAGAUGUUCUGCAGCUGU